AGCGUAGGCUUCUAUUUAGUAGGUAGUUUUAGGGGUACAAUUAAUCCGCUUACUGCAAGUUAGGGAGGAGCGAUAAUGCUGACAAGAUGCAGUUAUCAUGAAGUUUUUGACGCCAAUGUCUCGGUUUUGAAACAAAAAGGACAUAUCGGCUUAUAGGUAUGCGAAACUUUGUCCCAAGCAGUGGAAUGAUGGGAGGAAUGUGGAAAUUUUUGUAAUUUCCAAGUAAAUUUUUAAAAAUUCUAUUAUGUAAUUUCCCAUGUCGGUAU
ensembl:ncRNA C34H3.16 ncRNA